rnacentral:rRNA from 1 species
CCUACGGGUGGCUGCAGUGGGGAAUAUUGGACAAUGGGCGAAAGCCUGAUCCAGCCAUGCCGCGUGUGUGAAGAAGGCCUUCGGGUUGUAAAGCACUUUCAGUGGGGAAGAAAGCCUUGGGGCUAAUACCCUCGAGGAAGGACAUCACCCACAGAAGAAGCACCGGCUAACUCCGUGCCAGCAGCCGCGGUAAUACGGAGGGUGCGAGCGUUAAUCGGAAUUACUGGGCGUAAAGCGCGCGUAGGCGGUCUGAUAAGCCGGUUGUGAAAGCCCCGGGCUCAACCUGGGAACGGCAACCGGAACUGUCAGGCUAGAGUGCAGGAGAGGAAGGUAGAAUUCCCGGUGGAGCGGUGAAAUGCGUAGAGAUCGGGAGGAAUACCAGUGGCGAAGGCGGCCUUCUGGACUGACACUGACGCUGAGGUGCGAAAGCGUGGGUAGCAAACAGGAUUAGAUACCCCAGUAGUC